AGCUCCAAUAGCGUAUAUUUAAGUUGUUGCAGUUAAAAAGCUCGUAGUUGGAUUUCGGGCGUGGCGGGCCGGUCCGCCUUUUAGGUGUGCACUGGCUCGCGGCGCCUUACUGUCGAGGACGCGCAUCUGGCCUUAACUGGCUGGAACGUGGAGUCGGCGCGGUUACCUUGAAAAAAUUAGAGUGUUCAAAGCGGGCUCGCGCUUGAAUAUAUUAGCAUGGGAUAACACCAUAGGACUCCGGGCCUAUUCCGUUGGUCUUCGGGUCGGGAGUAAUGAUUAAGAGGAACGGUUGGGGGCAUUCGUAUUUCGUUGUCAGAGGUGAAAUUCUUGGAUUUACGAAAGACGAACUUCUGCGAAAGCAUUUGCCAAGGAUGUUUUCA
rnacentral:rRNA from 1 species